UAUGGUCAUACCACAUUGAAACACCAGUUUCCAUAUGAUCACUGAAGUUAAGCAAUGUCAAGCUUAGUCAGUACCUAGAUGGGCAACUGCUUCAGAAUAUCAGGUGCUGUAA